UAUUUAUACAUUUAUUUCGUUCUGUGCACCAAACACUUGUCACUUUUUGCAGCAGCUAUGACACAUGCCACUUGCCACUUGGUGCAACUGCUCUGCGACCCUUAAAAGUUUCCACAACUGGAUGCAGAUGAAGCCGCGAGUGAUGGUGAUGAUGAUGAUGAUAAUGAUGACGACUGCCGGGAGUUGUGGCUUUGUUUUGUCUUGGAUGUGAUUUGAUUUGCCCACGACUUCAAGACUUAGCCACAUAUCCAUGUUUCGCUUGUAAGUUGCCGCUCCGCUGAAAUUUCUCCGCGGCUUGUAAGUGACUUAGCGAAGCGCACAAUUUUUAUUGGCUUGACUGCCUCAUAACUGGGACCAACUUAGAUCCUCCGCCCAUCUCAUCCUCAUAUUCAUUCCACUCUGGUGUUUGGAGGGUCUGAGGCAUGAGUCAAUUAUUUCAUAUGCCACAAUGUCCAGACAAGUGUGCAACACACCACGUCUGAUUCUGAUUCGAAAUUGAAAUCUGCUUUCCCUUAAGCACAAAAGGCUUUAAGUUGACAGCGUCAAAGAUUGCGAAAAGUAAUCGAAGCAUUUGUGAUUAGAUGUGAAUCGUUAUAAAUUUAAGUGGAAUUUAUACGAAACACUUUCCUGUUUACUUACCACUCAUUUGCAUUUUCCAUAAUAUAUUUCAAGCUAAUAAAAUAAUACAUAUAGUUUCCAUUUCACUUCUUCUGUGCAUGGGAGCAGGCCAUUAAUAAGAUUUUAUGAUUCACAUGCGCAAAAGAUUUGUAUGUGAAUCACAGCCAAAAAAACACAACAGCCCCAGAGCCAAACCAUUAACAACAAAUUAAAUAAAUGUGAGCACACUAAGAGGCCAGAAUAAACAAGCGGCUGCAUCUCGCCCCUGUAAUAAUAAUGUCCGAAAGCAUCAGCAAAUAAUGUUCUUGGACGACGGCACUUCCGGUGCAAUUAAGACGCAGUGUUUCUAGUUAGCACUCGAGUCGUCGACUCGACUGGAAGUCAUCUAGCAAAAUGACAAGAAAUAUGAACGGGCUGCUAAAAAUACCAGAUGCUUCCCUUUGGCACACAUAAUUUGGUGGAAAGCAUAGAGAAACAUAGAGAAACAUAGAGAAACACUUCUGCAGAUAUCUCCCCGUGCCACUUCACACUUAAUAAGACAUAAUUUGUACAAUUUUAUGAGUUGCAGCCUGGCGCGUGGGCAGCCAAGAAAAAGUUGCAGAAAAAGCCUAAUUAAAUGGUCAGCAAUAUGCGAAAACUGUUUGCAUUUACAGAACGAACUGAGACAAUUGCAUUGGGCCAAAACGCCUUCGCUUUGUGCACUCGUUCUGUCAGCCGCAGGCGACAGGUUGGCCCCGCCACUUAGUUUGGGACAAGUUAAUUUUUGGCUCCUUUUGACUUUUGUCUGCUGAUGAAUUUAAUUUCUAAUUGUGCCCGACAUGAGCACUUUUGCACAGCUCGAAUGAUAAAUUACAGGCUGGCGCUCGUCCUCCUUAACUGCGUUUGUGCGUAGGACUUGUUUGCAAAACUCUGCAUUCCUAAGUAAGCCAGCAGUUCCAAAAAGAAUUUCAGACACUGCAAUACAUUGCAUCUCAGCUCCUUAAUUCUAUGCAACUUUAGGUAAGUCUUAAGCAAAAUACUCUAGCGUAUAAGCGCGGAAGUUCGAUCGCUCUCCUUCAGCCACCGUGGCGUAUGCGCAAUGUGCAACUGACGUGUGGUGGCCGACGGAUCAGAACCGCUCAAGAGCCAUCGUCGCUUGACAAUGCAAUUAAAGUGGCCAAUACUAGACGUUAGCACGCAUCUGGGAUGGGCCUUCAAUUGACAUUUCGGUUAAUUUGAGUGAAUUAGCAUGGGGCUGAUGGGUUUGAGUGAGUGCAACCUGCACUCGCUUUCAAAUCGCAAAUGAGGCGGAAGAUCUGCCGGCUGUCACAGCUGGCUGUCAGUUUGGAAAACGUAUCUGACCACUUGACAAAUCACCCUAAGAGUGACAGCCAGACCAAACACUUACAACACUUCCUCUCGUAGGCCAAAAAGGCCAGAAAGCAAAUAGUGUGCCGCAAAAGUUGGCCCAGAAUAAUAUUCGCACUCUUCUUCAGCUGUCAGCCGAAUUUGGGUCAAAUUAAUAACGCGUAGUGUGGUCGAGUAAUGCCAAACGGCUGAAACACAUUCGCCGCCGCCAGAAGCACUUUUCAAAAUAAUAAAGAAAGCCAAAAAAUAGAAAAAAAAACCAAAACCAAAACCAAAUUAAACGCUGCUGAGAGCCAAAAUGUCGACAUAUUUACAAAAGAACCCAAAAACAAGCUGCCGUGACACUUUCGAUUUCAAUUUCGUUGUAUUUGAGUGUCUUUUUUUUGCACUUGUAUUUUGCUGGCUGUCUCGGCCGUAUUGUCAGUUAAAAGUUUUUAUUUUUCUUGUUUUUUUCCGAUGUGUAGCUGUGUCGAAGGUAGCGACGACAGGUGCAAAAGUUGGCGACAAAUUUUAAUGAGCUGCAAAAGGCAGCGGGAAAACAUCAAAAUAUCUCCGACUUGCAGCAGAACACCCUAAAACCACAGAAUACAGAAAAUAAUUAAGUCAAAGUGAAAUAAUUUAGCGGAUUUUAAUUAACUGCAAUUAAUGUGUCGUGGGAGACGAAACUUCUGAAAUGGCGCUAUAAUUCCUAGACCUCAAAAUAAGGUAAAUGUUCCCGUGUUGUUUUGGCAUUUUAUGAAUUAUUUAAAAAAAAAUCCUUAAAUAUUUUAUAUUCCAAAAUCAUAUUAUCUAGUGGCCACAAAUAGAUUUUUCAUCUUCCUAAUAUUUAAAUAAAACUAAGCAUAUGUAACAUAAAUUAUGGAAAAUACAUUCAUAUUUCUCAUCAUCUUAUACAAAUCGUUUAUAGUUCAAAUAGCAAGGCAGCAAAUAAAAUGAAUUGCUAAAUUUGAUAUCUAAUUAAAUGUCCCAUGACUCGCGUCAGUUUAUGUAGAUUUUAAAAAACUAUUUGCAGCCCAAAGGAAAACCAGAAUUAAAAUUUUAGUGCAAAACGAUUGAUUUUAAAAUUCGCGGGCAUUGUUGUGGUUGUCAGGUAAUUUACGAACUUAAUUUAUUUUUUUUUUAUUUCUACCUUCUUUUUAUUGUUUUUAUUAUUAUCGCCUGCUGCUUUGUGAAUAUUGCUUCCUCUUUGCAACGUAAUAUAACAAAAGAGAUACAGUCGAAUGUGUGUGUAUUAGUGUGUGUGAAUUUUGAAUAAAACGUAAUAAAAACAACAGUAUCGCGCAGAUACAACAAUAAACAAAAAAAAAAACAUACGAACGCCAAACCAAAAGAAAAAAUUUCAAGGUCAGCGCCGAAACGUGCAUGCAAAAAUUAAGCGCUGAAAAAACGAGCGUACAAAUAAAGUAAAUAAUAAAACACAGCAGCACCCAAAUUCCCAGCGAAAGAGCCGAAGGAGAAAUCAAAACCAUUUCGCAGCUUUUUAGCUUCUGCCUUUUGGUAGGUCUUUCUUAUUUUGCCCUAAUAUUUCGCUGCACUUUCGCAUCUUAAAAGAAAGAAAGAAAGUUAUCUAAUUAGCUAUCUAAUUUAUGUUUAGUAGAAGCCUGUGUUUCAGUCCUUAGUCUUCUUAAAUUUGUGAUAUAUUUUGUGACUUUUAUUAUAUGUAUUUAAUAUUUGUGGGAAAAAACUAAUGGACUUGUUUUCUUGAAUCUGAGAACUCUGAGCCUUGAAACAAGACGUAAAUCGUUACUGCUUUCCAGGACAGAGCAGUAAAUAAAAUUCAAAAUUUUUACAAGUAUGAAUGGGUAAUUGGGAUGGCUUAACAUCUAUUGGUUUUCAUAUGGAUUGGUAUUUUCAGAUGUACUGGCAUUUCCAUGACAAAAACCGAUUGAAGAGCCAACCCUUCCCGUUUUUGUUUUCGCUUCCAUCACAGACUCCAAGCUGAGUCACAGCUCAUGGGGAUUGUGUGGAGCCAAAGGGAGGCUUGUGGAUGAGAAGGAGGGGCAAACCCAAUCGGCAAUCGACACUUGCCCUUGAACGCCAGCCAGUAGAAGAGCCUGAAGCUCAAAUGAGCCAUGUUGGCAGAGCUGCCAAAAUGCAGUCAACGGCGACGCCGCCAGACGUCGGCGCUCAUCCAAUGUCGUCAGCAGCAGCAACGCUAGCACCAUCAGCAACAUUAGGAGUAGCAGCAACACGGCGGCAAUUUCGAAAAUUAAGUGAUUUAAAACAUCACACUUAUGUAUGUAUGCCAAAUUACAUGCUUAACUCAUAUACCUGAAGAACCGAAAGUUGUUGAAUACCAAAUACACUACCAGGAAUAAAAAUGUAUCGCAGCAACUAAAUAGGAGCAGCAACAUUAUUGUAAGGUAGCAGCAACAUGGUUCCUUCAGGAGGAAGAGCUCUGAUGUUACAUAUUGGCAAGCAGCUUUAGCAACAAUGUCCAAGCAACUACGACUGCAACAUGAGGAAAGAAAGAAAGACAGCACUACACUAGCAACAUCCGAACACAGCAACAACUCUGCAGCAGCAACAGCAGCGGCUGCCCUCGAAUUUUGGGGCUUGGCUGCCGUCUCUUUCGCUCCCCGCCCGCUCCUACGCCCCUUGUCCCGCACUCUUGCCAAAUGAACAACUGUCGCUGUAGUCGCUGAUUGUUGUUCUUGUGGCUCAGCAUAAAUUCGCAAAGUAUGCGAAAUUUAUUAGGGUCUGUUUCGCAUGUGCCGAUGUUGUUUUUGCUGUCGUGGCUCGUCUAAUUUAAAGUUCACAGGCAAACACACACACGCACACACACAUACACUUGGCAGACCCAUUUGCACACACACUCGCCCACCGAGAACAACUCUCUUGUGUAAGUGAGUGUGGCACACACAUCGAUAAAAAACCAGAAAUAGCGAAUAAAGGCAACACAGCAACAGCAA